GAUUUACUGGGCGUAAAGGGCGCGUAGGCGGCGAAUCAAGUCAGCUGUGAAAUCUCCGAGCUUAACUCGGAACGGUCAGCUGAUACUGUUUUGCUAGAGUGCAGAAAGGGCAGCCGGAAUUCUUGGUGUAGCGGUGAAAUGCGUAGAUAUCAAGAGGAACACCUGAGGCGAAGGCGGGUUGCUAGGCUGACACUGACGCUGAAGCGCGAAAGCUAGGGUAGCAAACGGGAUUAGAUACCCCGGUAGUCCUAGCCCUAAACGAUGUAUGCUUGGUGUCUGGAGUUUUUAUCUCUGGGUGCCGUCGCUAACGCUUUUAGCAUACCGCCUGGGGAGUACGCACGCAAGUGUGAAACUCAAAGGAAUUGACGGGGACCCGCACAAGCGGUGGAGCAUGUGGUUCAAUUCGACGCAACGCGAAGAACCUUACCCAGGCUUGAACUGCGAGUGACCACUCCUCAAAGGGAGCUUUCGCAAGAACACUCGUAGAGGUGCUGCAUGGCU
rnacentral:rRNA from 1 species